rnacentral:rRNA from 1 species
UUCUGGGAUUAAUGACAGAUUGAGAGCUCUUUGUUGAUUCGGUGGAUGGUGGUGCAAGUCCGUUCUUAGUUGGGGGGGUGAUUUGUCUGGUUAAUUUCGCUAACGAACGAGGUUCUAGCCUAUUAAAUAGGCGGAGGCAUGCGGUUUAGAGAAGCUCGUUUUAGCGAACGCCGUUUUACCGACCCAGGUUUAUCGAAUGCCUUUAUAGAGAACCCAGUUUAGAGAAAAUGGCGAUGAGCCUCUUUUUAGUGAAUUCGGCCGCCACGAAGCGGCGUGUACGGGUAAAUCAGGUGAGUUAACAUUUUUGUAAUGAGCCGCCGCAGUCUGCCGCCGCGAAGCGGCGGGACCGCAGCGGGGGGCAUGGCUUAACAGGCGCACCAGUGAUACACGCGAGAAGUGGGAAAGCCAUCUUUUUAAAAAGCGCCCCCUUUUCGAUAAACGGCGUUUCUCUAAAAUGAGGCUCUGCUUUCUCUAAACCAUGCUUCGAUAAAACGUUCCCAUUCUCUAGAACGUGCUUCAAUGAAAUGGCAUUCGAUCAACCGUAGUAAACUCUUAAAUAGGUGCGUGGUUUUCUGCACCUUGCCACCUUUCUUAGAGGGACAAGCGGCUCCUAGCCGCACGAAACAGAGCAAUAACAGGUCUUUGAUGUCCUUAGAU